GGCUUAUGUUGUUAUGGCCCAGUGCCUUAUGUAGUUGGGGCCAAGCUGUGAAGUUUGCACCCAGAUCAGAACUUCUGCAAUGUACCAAGCUGGUCAGAUCCAGGGCCGCUUUGUCAGACGCAUGUCUGGUUUACUAAAAAAAGGUGUGAAGAAGAGAGAUUUGAAGGGCGUCUAAGAAUCAGAAACAGAAAAUUUAGUAAUCUGGGCAAUACAGAUAACAUAACCACUUGCCCUAGAAGAGCUGAAAGAUCCAGUGCAGAGAAAAGCAGGGAACAGACAUGGCAUCAUCAUUAGUAUUUCAAAAAUUAAACUGAUGACCACAAUGGGAGAGAGAAUCAGAGCUGACACAGAUAAUGAGCCUAGGGCAAGUCUCACAUUUUACAUAUCUAGGUGCAAUCUACACAGAAGACAUUGAGAACCAGAUCCUAUUCCAGCUAUUAAGUGUAUAAAUAUAUUUAGGCACCUAAGGUGUGAUUCUAUUCCACCUGGUUCAAGUCCUGAAAAUCCAAUUAAUGUAUCUAUUUUUGUAAUGCACCCUCAUCUUACCCUGAAGACUAAGUCAUACAAAAGCAGUAAAAAGGAGGAGGACCCACACAUCUUACUGGAAAGAAAAUUACAAGCAUUUGAGAUGAUGUGCUAUAGAAGACUCCUGAACAUGCUGUAUACCCCAAAAUAAAUCCAACAAAUGGGUGCUUAAAAAAUCUGGAGCCAAGCCUGAAUUAAUAAAAAUAGUAAAAAAAAGAGUAAAUAUCAAUAUGCUGGUCACAUUCUAAGAAUAAGAGACAGUCUAGCAAAUAAUACAAUAGAUAGUUGUAUGCCAGAGAAGGGAAGGGUACAAAGAGAGACGGUACAAAGACAGUCUAGAC